AGAGUUUGAUCCUGGCUCAGGAUGAACGCUAGCUACAGGCUUAACACAUGCAAGUCGAGGGGCAGCAUCAUCAAAGCUUGCUUUGAUGGAUGGCGACCGGCGCACGGGUGAGUAACACGUAUCCAACCUGCCGACAACACUGGGAUAGCCUUUCGAAAGAAAGAUUAAUACCGGAUGGCAUAGUUUUCCCGCAUGGGAUAAUUAUUAAAGAAUUUCGGUUGUCGAUGGGGAUGCGUUCCAUUAGGCAGUUGGCGGGGUAACGGCCCACCAAACCAACGAUGGAUAGGGGUUUUGAGAGGAAGGUCCCCCACAUUGGAACUGAGACACGGUCCAAACUCCUACGGGAGGCAGCAGUGAGGAAUAUUGGUCAAUGGACGAGAGUCUGAACCAGCCAAGUAGCGUGAAGGAUGACUGCCCUAUGGGUUGUAAACUUCUUUUAUACGGGAAUAAAGUUAGCCACGUGUGGCUUUUUGUAUGUACCGUAUGAAUAAGGAUCGGCUAACUCCGUGCCAGCAGCCGCGGUAAUACGGAGGAUCCGAGCGUUAUCCGGAUUUAUUGGGUUUAAAGGGAGCGUAGGCGGGUUGUUAAGUCAGUUGUGAAAGCUUGCGGCUCAACCGUAAAAUUGCAGUUGAUACUGGGCGACCUUGAGUGCAACAGAGGUAGGCGGAAUUCGUGGUGUAGCGGGUGAAAAUGCUUAGAUAUCACGAAGAACUCCGAUUGCGAAGGCAGCUUACUGGAUUGUAACUGACGCUGAUGCUCGAAAGUGUGGGUAUCAAACAGGAUUAGAUACCCUGGUAGUCCACACAGUAAACGAUGAAUACUCGCUGUUGGCGAUAUACAGUCAGCGGCCAAGCGAAAGCAUUAAGUAUUCCACCUGGGGAGUACGCCGGCAACGGUGAAACUCAAAGGAAUUGACGGGGGCCCGCACAAGCGGAGGAACAUGUGGUUUAAUUCGAUGAUACGCGAGGAACCUUACCCGGGCUUAAAUUGCAACUGACUGAACCGGAAACGGUUCUUUCUUCGGACAGUUGUGAAGGUGCUGCAUGGUUGUCGUCAGCUCGUGCCGUGAGGUGUCGGCUUAAGUGCCAUAACGAGCGCAACCCUUAUCGAUAGUUACUAGCAGGUCAUGCUGAGGACUCUAUCGAGACUGCCGUCGUAAGAUGUGAGGAAGGUGGGGAUGACGUCAAAUCAGCACGGCCCUUACGUCCGGGGCUACACACGUGUUACAAUGGGGGGUACAGAAGGCAGCUACACGGCGACGUGGUGCUAAUCCCGAAAGCCUCUCUCAGUUCGGAUUGGAGUCUGCAACCCGACUCCAUGAAGCUGGAUUCGCUAGUAAUCGCGCAUCAGCCACGGCGCGGUGAAUACGUUCCCGGGCCUUGCACACACCGCCCGUCA
rnacentral:rRNA from 1 species